rnacentral:lncRNA from 1 species
GAAAAUUCCUGGAGCCUCCAUCCUCAAGCUUUCCCACGGACAGCUGGCAUUGGCAUCUUCUUGGAUUUUGCUGGAAUGAAGUCAUUUGACUCUUCCUUAGACAAAGGUGGGUCAGAACCUGCAUUAUAACAACAUCUUCAGGUGAUGCACGUUCGGGAUGGAGAAGCAUUGCUUUGGGAAAGCCAGGUGUUGCCUGAGGGAAAAGCUGGUACUGCUUUCAGGGCAGUCACAGCCAGCACCCUGCUUCAAUGAACAGAUGAUGUCAUAGUCCCAGCCAGCACCCUGCUUCAAGGAACAGAUGAUGUCGUAGUCCCAGCCAG